UCAAUAAAACUGAAAUUCAUAAUAUUACAGUAAGGCAAAGAUAAUAAGUAUGACAUUUCAUAAUGUCUGAAUAAGAUAAAAUGCAUUACAUGUUAGUAGGAAUUCAUAGAAACACAAACAUCUAUAUAUGGUAUUGUCCUGACGCUUCCCCUUUAAGAAAUCUGAGUGUAGUGCGCGUGCAACUGUAGCGCGCAUACUUUGAACAGUAACGGUCAAAGAGGAGAAGAAGCUGAGAAAUCGAGUGAUUAACGUUGUUUAACUUGUUAAAAUGUAUUUAAAGAUGCUAAAAGGAAGAAAUAGUAAUACUUAUCUGAUCUGCAUCCUAAACGAACAGUUUUGGGUUAACAAUAUCUGUUGGUGAGUUGAGCUGGUUUUAUUGAAUGUGAUUAGCAAGGAGUCCGCCCUUACAUAGCAAAAGAUAUUGUUAAACAACUGAUAUUAAUUAAAUAUUAAUGUAUGCUGUUUAUAAUAAAAUGUCAUUAUAUAAAACACUGGAGUAGUGAGUACAAAAUGUAUGUUCAGCCACCAUUUUGAGCUGUUUUGAAUAACGUUGUGCUUUAAGGUUUUGUAUAGCGCUAUUUUAAUUAUUUGCAUUGAUGGAUUAAUAAGAUGUUCUUAUGGCCUGUUGUCCAGGUCAGGUUUUAUGUUCCAGUUAAAAAGUUUGACAUUGGACAACGAUUCUCCCGGGAUAUGUGUGCGUACAUGGAGAAGAUGUGCAUGAGCUGUUGUCAGUGAGAGGACCUGCUGUGUUGCCUGUUCACAGAAGCGCUGCAGGUGCCUUAUAUCUGUUGAAUCCAUCUUACACUAUCCUCGGAUAAACUACGCCGGUGCAUUGCCAUUGCUAUUUACCUAUGAAGAGUACACAGCUGAGCGAGUGGGCAUUUCACUGGCUGGAUGCAUCAGCGUCACAUUUGCAUAGUUCUGUUCCAGUCAAAAUUUCGUUCGUUUCCGGUUAUCGUUUUCGUUCCUUGAACCGGUUCAGAGCCCUGGUUGAAACAGCUCAAAGGAUCAUGGGCACACGGCUCUCAGCAAUCCAGGACAUCUAUUCUAAACGCUGUCUCAGGAAAGCUGAAUGCAUUAAGAAGGACUUCAGUCAGCCAGCACCAACACUUUUCUGCUUUCUGCCUUCUGGAAAGCGAGUCAGGUCCAUCAGCAGUUGCACAUCAAAAUACAAGGACAGCUUACAUCCCAAUCCCACGCUGCACGCUGUUGGACACAUAUACUAUGGACCCAUCACAUGUUCACACUGCAGUAGGACUUAAUUACUGCCAGUCACUGUAUUAAUUUUACCUCUUGCUCUGUCGCUUUAUACUUUUCCUCUUACUGUCUCAAUAUACUGCUGCAAAUCAGUCUUGGCAGAUCUCUCUAGAAAAAUAAGCGAUCAUCAUCAUAAUGGCAAAGCAGACAUAUUUUAUUGUGCUACAAGGGCCAAGCAGCUUCAAAUACAUGACUGUAUUUUGGAAAUUAAAGUACCAAAGUACCUGUAAUUAUUCCUGUAAUGGAAAGGCUGAAUUUUCAACAGCCAUUACUCCAGUCUUCAGUGCCACAUGGUCCUUCAGAAAUCAUUCCGA